rnacentral:lncRNA from 1 species
CACAGGGGUGGUGGUCAGGUCAUCCCAACAGCCAGGAGGGUCAUUUACGCUUCUCAGCUCACUGCCAAGCCAAGGCUGCUGGAGCCUGUGUACCUGGUUGAGAUCCAGGCCCCGGAGAAUGCACUUGGCGGUAUCUAUGGUGUUCUGAAUCAGAAGAGAGGGCACGUGUUUGAGGAGAUGCAGAGGCCUGGUACCCCGCUGUACAACAUCAAGGCUUACCUCCCGGUCAUCGAGUCGUUUGGGUUCUCAAGUACCCUCAGGGCGGCGACAUCUGGCCAGGCUUUCCCCCAGUGUGUGUUCGACCAUUGGGACAUCAUGUCUUCUGAUCCUUUGGAGGCCGGCUCCCAGUCCGCGACCCUUGUCACAGAGAUCCGCAAGCGCAAGGGUCUCAAGGAACAGAUGACCCCUCUAUCUGAUUUCGAGGACAAGCUCUAAACUUUUGCUUCUGUUACAUGGUCUAGUUUGCUUUUGCUGCUAAGAGAGCUGCACUAUUAUCUGUCUAUUGAGUCGUCGUCGCUGUAUUGCUAUUGGAAUGUACUCCUAUCUGUCGUGAUACUGGCACUUUGUUUUGAUGUCUGUCGAUGUUAAAACUUAGAUUAUAUAUCUGUCGCGAUACUUUUGAUGUCUAUCAAUGUUAAAACUUAGACUAUAUAUCUGUUAUGGUAGUUCUUGUUGAUGUCUUGUUUGCUUUUGUGUUAGAUCUUGAGAUCUCUGCCUGGUUCUUUAUUUUGCUCUAGUCUUGCUCUAUAUUUUUAAUGAUCUUGAGAGCUCCUCUACUUGCAGUAUUUCUUCCUGCUCUUAUCAUCAUUUUACCUUCCAUGUUUUAUGCCCAUCAAAAUGUGUUCCAUCUUCUGUCAGUUGUAUUUCAAUCUAUGCUGUACUUGUUUUUCUCCAUUUUCACGAGACACGCACUGAUGAUGAGAAAUUGCUCCCUAGUGCUAGAUACAUCUGUUGAGCAAACAACAUUUCAGACGGAGGAUGUAGUACAUUAGAGGAACUUGCCGAGAGAAUAUACUGUAGUAGAAGCAUCUGUUAAUGCCGAGAGUAUCCGAACUUGUAUCUCUUCGGAAUACUACAGAUUGAACCUUUGUAGGCAUGAAAGAAUAUUCACAUAAUUUUCAUGCUCAGUAACUCUCUUACUCCACGGUCAUAGCAAUAUUGAGUUCUGAAGUUGUUCAUGGUAAAUUCUGGCAUAUAAUUGAUUUGUCUGCUAUUUCUUUACUGUUACUGGAUGCAAUGUACUGAGUAGUUGUACACGGGCUCUAUGUAAUUAUGACACUUGCAAAUAAGCUUCAACCUUUUAAUUUUUGCUGAAACAUAGGCAUGCCAUUUAAUGACUUGUUUUCAUGACCAACUUUGCCACAAUUAAGCUUAGGCAAAGAGUGGCUAACAAAAUGUUUACUACAAGUGUGGCAAGAUUUGGCAAAAAAUUUGAGCCUAUGACAUGUGGAUCAUAUAGCUAGAAAAGUGUGGCAGCUAAGUGUGGCAAUAAACUAAAUACAUGCCUAAGAUGUUGUGGCACGACUAAGGUUAGACGCGGAAACCUUACGCUGCAAAUCAAACAUACCUUAACUAAAAUAAAGUGAUCUCAGGUUUCUUAAUUUGGACACGAUGUUCAUAAAUACAAAUAAUACUCUCUCCGUAUCUAAUACUAAAACGUGACUUGAUACAUCCGUAUUUAGACAAAUCUAAGACAAGAAUUUUGGGACGGGGGAGUAGAUGAUUGGCUUUGGUCAGUGUGUUCUGGCCGCUUUAUGGAUGCUUACUUUUAUCUUUUAUGAAAUUUCAAUACUUUUCAAAAGACAAGACAGACUUUUAAUUGCCAACAAAAAUAGUACGGGAAAAUAGGGCUGAGGCUCGUCCAUCAAAUUCUCCGCUAAAAGGGAAAAUAUAAAGUGGCGGAGCUAACAAUAAUUUUGAUUGAUUGCAUUCAUCUUUGGAUGAAAGCUUAGUUUGAGCAUGAUUCUCCAAAAAUAUUACCUAAAUGAUAAGCUUAAAAUCCGUAGCCUCCUAUUCACCAUCUCUAGUCAAUCAUGUCGAUCAUUUCAAUGGAUAUUAGAGUUAUGGAUCUUUAUUACGGCUUACCGCCUAAAGAGAAUAAGGUCGAUGCCGGGAAAUCCACCGGUGGUGCCCCUAUGGUACAUGGUGAGCUUCCCGUCACCACACAACUGUUGCCUUGACCAUGGUGGACUUUACGUUAAUGUUGGAUUUUUAAGUCCGCCAUGAUAAAAGAAGUUCAUUCCAUUUUCAAGGAAGAGGUGGGCUCGAAAGUCAAAGCCUCUACAUCCGCACAAUCCUCAUUUGCUCCAAGUGAGGUUCGUGAUGUGGACGAUGUAAGAGAACAUCUUGCUCUCCCCGAACCUACAAUUGCACCCCUCGCAAUUCCAUAGAGUGCCACUACACACUAUGACCUAUCCAACAUCCGGAUAUUAAUCAUGUUGGGCCUCCGCCCCCUUUGAAAGCUAACACAUUUUCUAAGCGGAAACUCACUCUGGAGUCUCACAUUUACAGUGCCUCUACACAACUCUCAUGGGUGAUUGCGAAUGGUUUCAAGCCCAAGGACCCAUCAAGCCUUACACCAAGGGAAGCCGUUGAUGAUCGAUUCAUUACCACCGCCUUCAACAUGCUCCGGCUUGCCACCACCGAUGAGUAUGCCAAUUCCAUUGCUAUCUUCAAGCCCCCCAAAGAAAUUUGAGAUUGCAUUGAGGAUAUAUUUGAAGGACAUGACAAUGUUCAGAGAUCUAGGUUGGUCAUUGUUCGUCAAUUUGUCCAUAAGGAAUGUGAGAGAGACCACUGAAGAGGUGUUCUGGAGAUUGAAGUCACUUGUGUUGGAUUCGAGAAACUUUUGGAGCCAUGGUCUUUACGAAUCAUACUAUGAUCAUGAUGAUCCACCAACAUCCCGACUAUGACCGAAUGACUCCCAAUCGAGUUGUGUCUUCUUUUGGAGAUCAAGUCCAAGAACACAAUGGCGAUUGAUCAAGAAAUAAAGAACUCCAAUCUAGCGCUAAAGGCCAAGAAGGUGGUCGGAUGUGCUACGAGAGAAGAAGUUGAUACCUCGUGUCAGGUUGACUUUGAGGAAGACUUGACCCUCUAGGUCAAGAAAUAUUCGGGCACAAAAGCAAAGAAAAGGGGAAGCAUCUUAAGGGAACAUCCUUUGGGAGAAGAACGUGCCACAAUCUUAUUAAUGUUACAUGGAGAAGAUUUCGUUUUGCGAUUGACUUCUCUCUCGCGCCAUCCGCCUCGCGAGCCGUCCGAUCAAGGUUGAUCGUGCUGCACUCAUCGUAUGUCACCCGUCCACCUGGGGCCCAUGCACCACCGUCCGCAUUAUAUCCAGCGCAACAACGAGAGCCACUCGCUCCCCCCCACAUGAGUGAGAUCCCCAUUUUUCCUCUUCAUAUUUGAAUCCCUCUUUGCACGGCCCCGUCGGAGCAGUCGCAAGCGGCAUGUAGCACCUGACGGGGAACCUGCUGCACCCUAGCAGCCGGCGACCCACAGCACCCGCGUCGGCGUUGCCCAGCAUCGUCGACCGUUCCCGUGCCCUAUGUUGCCGAGCAUCGUUGGCCGUUGCUGCGGUCGGUGUUGCCGAGCACGUCUGCGCUCAGCUCUCAUCUUCUUUUUUUUUUGAGGCACGCUCAGCUCUCAUCUGAAAUUCUCACCACGCCUGGACAUCAUCCCUUUCGGCCCGACUCCACAGUGGACAACAGACAGGCCAGCUUCACUUGCGGGCCGCAUUUCGCGUGGCCGGCCUUCCCCCUCCGCUCCGCGCGCAUCUUGGCCCGCACGGAACCAACAAAAUAGCAUAUAUAACGGCCAGCAAAUGCGACCUAGAGAGUCCUCACUUCCUUGAACCCUUUCCAUUCUCACGGAUCGGGAGCGCCGCCGCUUCCCCACCUCUCGUCUCUCGGCGAACCCCCAAGGUGAGCCGAACCUCCCCUCCCGCCUCCUCCCCCGCGCCCUCCGGCUGCUUCUCCGGCUGCUCCGUCGGCGGGCGCGUCCCUGCUAGCUAGCUACUGGCUGCUACCUGGCCGACCGAUUUCACGGGCUCUAGUCCAGCCUCCUCGCUAGCUCGAUGCGGUCCAGUCCCCUUUGCUGGGUUCGUGGCCGCUGGGAUUAUUCCUAUGUGGUUUCGAUGCUCUUAGACGCGGUAGAUCUGCUGCUUCGUUCGUCCCGCUCGCUUGUUCCUGGCGACGACUUUGUGCUGACGUCACUAGAUAGAUAAGCUCGUCGCUUCCGAUGCGCUUCUGCGGUGGCUAAGGGUGUUUGCCCCGUCGUGUUUAGCGAGGAUCUGCCCGCUCCGCCGUGGUGGACGGCGAUCUGUUUUAUGUGGUGUUCCGUUAGCUUUUUUCGCCAUUUUUUGCUGCGCUGCUGUUCAUCCACGGGCUCUUAGCAUGCUCAAGCUGCAGGGUUUUGCUCACUCGGUUGCCUGCCUGCCGUACCCUGGUUGGUUUCGUUCUCUGUUCUCAUGUUCAGGGCGGAGGAAAUGGUGAUGCAUACCUUUGCUUGGCAUGUUUAAUUUAAUUUGAUUGUGUAUAUAGAACGGGAGACUCUUAUAGAAUGGUGUGUCAGUUCUUAUCUACUUAUAGUUGAGGUAUUAUGGGUGAAUUUAUCCCUCAUCUGUUUUAUUUGGUUAAAUUGAUCCUAUGUGACUAUCUUCUGGUGUUCUUCUCAGUGCUCCCCAUGCAUGGUUGGUUGCACCUAUUUCAGAGCUCAACAUUAUGACCUUCUGUGCAUCGCAUUGUUUCUAGUGUUUACAGUGGUAGUUACUACUACAUGAUAAUACAGUCAGCACGUGUGCAUAAAACUAAAACUACCUUCUGUCACAAAUCAACUUUGCAUAAAACUACGAUUCUGUUUCGAAUCUGAUUUGUUUUCUCCAUCCACAUAUGAUUGAUUCAUGAGAGAUGUUUCUAUGAUCCACAAAGUUAUACAGAUCUGUAGGUACUUGAAGGUUUAGCUAGUGAAAUCCAUUACCUGUUUGUGCUUCAUACUUGCGCACACUUCAGAUAAUGGACUGCUUUUCUUUCUUAUCUUUCUUACUGUUUUGUGCUUUCUUUCGCAUACUGUCAUGUCGAGUGCUCUAAAAAUUGGUUGCCAUUGUUGCUUUCUGGCUUCCUUUUGAACGCACUUUGGGCAAUUAAGUUUUCAGAACAUGGUCUUCAGUUCCCAUAAGUUAGUUUUAGUAUGCUUGGUUGACUGUAACACAUAUUUCAUUUUAGUGGGUGUGGUUGUGGAAGUGUUGGUUAAAGUAUUUUUGGUACUGUACUUGAAGCUAAUGUGUGCCCAACAGUAGUAAGAGCCUUCUGUUUAUUCAGUUGUGGUUUUAAUUACUUAAUUUUUGUUCCAUUCUGAACAGGAACUAUAUUCCCAGCGUGAUAUCCAAAACCAGUCAAGAUGGUGAAGUUUACUGCGGAGGAGCUCCGCGGAAUUAUGGACAAGAAAAAUAAUAUUCGUAACAUGUCUGUUAUUGCUCAUGUCGACCACGGUAUGUGCCUGAACAUACAGUUGUCUCUAAUUAUUGAGUUCAUACAGUAGAAUCUUUGUUAAUCAAUGUUUUCAGCCUCUUAAUUUUACUGUAUUUAAUUCUAAAUACUGAAACUAUUUAAAUGGGUCAAUUUAACAAGUGGAGCAUAAUUAGUUUCAUCCCUAAAACCAAUCCAUCUUAUUGUGUCCUGGAGUUUACUACCACUGCUUAUUAUAUGAUUGAUUUCUGCUUCACCAAUAUGACUGAUUUCUGCUUCACCAAGCUUAAAUGUUACUGUUGACAUACCAUCCCAGGGCUUAUAUCUCCCCAGUUUGGUGUAUUCUCACAUUGUCCCUGAAUGCAUUACACUUGUAGGAUCUGAAAUUUACAUGAUUGUACUUAGUUACUUCAAUAUUGAUGUCCUUAUAUUCUGUUUGCAAUGUCCCACUAGAUUUUGCUUAACCAUGUUGCUAAAAACCUUGUUGAGCUUAUUUGUACCUUCUUUUGUUUCCUGAUUGUUUGAAAGUACUGUACUGCUGUGUCCUACUUCUGCCUUAUAUGAGUUAACAUGUUCGAUUUUCUAUUCAUAUAGGUUGUGUUCAACUGUCAAACCAGAUGCUUGUGCACUGUUCUCACAUAUUAUUUACAUAUUUGCAGGCAAGUCUACGCUUACGGAUUCCCUUGUGGCAGCUGCUGGGAUUAUCGCCCAGGAAGUUGCUGGGGAUGUUCGCAUGACCGAUACCCGUGCAGAUGAGGCAGAGCGUGGUAUUACAAUCAAAUCCACGGGUAUCUCUCUUUUCUAUCAGAUGACUCCUGAAUCACUUGAGAUGUACAAGGGCGACAGGGAUGGAGAUGAAUACCUGAUCAACCUUAUUGAUUCACCUGGCCACGUUGACUUUUCUUCGGAAGUCACAGCUGCUCUUCGUAUCACUGAUGGUGCUUUGGUGGUUGUUGACUGUAUUGAGGGUGUCUGUGUGCAGACCGAAACUGUGCUGCGCCAAGCUCUUGGUGAGAGGAUUAGGCCCGUCCUCACCGUGAACAAGAUGGACAGAUGCUUCCUUGAGCUUCAGUUUGAAGGUGAGGAAGCAUAUCAGACUUUCUCCCGUGUCAUCGAAAAUGCCAAUGUCAUCAUGGCAACAUAUGAAGAUGUGCUCCUUGGUGAUGUCCAAGUGUACCCAGAAAAGGGGACUGUUGCAUUCUCUGCUGGUUUGCAUGGGUGGGCUUUCACCCUUACAAACUUUGCUAAGAUGUAUGCCUCCAAGUUUGGUGUUGAUGAGGUGAAGAUGAUGGAGAGGCUGUGGGGUGAGAACUUCUUUGACCCAGCCACAAAGAAAUGGACCACCAAGAACACUGGGACAGCUACCUGCAAGAGAGGUUUUGUUCAGUUCUGCUAUGAGCCAAUCAAGCAAAUCAUCGCCACCUGCAUGAAUGAUCAGAAGGAUAAGUUGUGGCCUAUGUUGAAGAAGCUUGGUGUGACCAUGAAGAAUGAUGAGAAGGACUUGAUGGGAAAGGCUCUCAUGAAGCGUGUGAUGCAGACUUGGCUGCCUGCCAGUCGUGCUCUGCUUGAGAUGAUGAUAUUUCACCUCCCCUCUCCUUCAAAGGCACAGAGGUAUCGUGUGGAGAACUUAUACGAGGGCCCCCUUGAUGAUGUAUAUGCAAAUGCUAUCAGAAACUGUGACCCUGACGGUCCUCUUAUGCUGUAUGUCUCCAAGAUGAUUCCAGCAUCUGACAAGGGUAGAUUCUUUGCCUUUGGACGUGUUUUUGCCGGGAGGGUUGCAACUGGCAUGAAGGUCCGUAUCAUGGGUCCCAACUUUGUUCCUGGCCAGAAGAAGGAUCUGUAUGUGAAGAGUGUCCAGCGUACUGUUAUCUGGAUGGGAAAGAAGCAAGAGUCUGUUGAGGAUGUUCCCUGUGGUAACACUGUUGCUUUGGUUGGUUUGGAUCAGUUCAUCACCAAGAAUGCAACCCUGACAAAUGAGAAGGAAGUUGAUGCCUGCCCAAUCAGGGCAAUGAAGUUCUCUGUGUCCCCUGUUGUGCGUGUUGCUGUUCAGUGCAAGGUGGCUUCUGAUCUUCCUAAGCUUGUUGAGGGUUUGAAGCGUCUGGCCAAGUCUGAUCCUAUGGUUCUCUGUACCAUUGAAGAGUCUGGUGAGCAUAUCAUUGCUGGAGCUGGAGAGCUUCACCUUGAAAUCUGUCUGAAGGAUCUGCAGGAUGACUUCAUGGGUGGUGCUGAAAUUAUUGUUUCCCCUCCUGUUGUCUCCUUCCGUGAGACUGUUCUGGAGAAGUCCUGCCGUACCGUUAUGAGCAAGUCCCCCAACAAGCACAACCGUCUUUACAUGGAAGCUCGCCCGUUGGAGGAGGGAUUGGCUGAGGCUAUCGAUGAUGGCCGCAUUGGCCCGCGUGAUGAUCCUAAGGUGCGCUCCAAGAUCCUGUCUGAGGAGUUUGGGUGGGACAAGGAUCUCGCCAAGAAGAUUUGGUGCUUUGGACCUGAGACGACUGGCCCCAACAUGGUUGUUGACAUGUGUAAGGGAGUGCAGUAUCUGAAUGAAAUCAAGGACUCUGUUGUGGCUGGGUUCCAGUGGGCAUCAAAAGAAGGAGCAUUGUGUGAGGAGAACAUGCGUGGUAUCUGCUAUGAGGUCUGUGAUGUUGUUCUCCACACUGAUGCUAUUCACAGGGGUGGUGGUCAGGUUAUCCCAACGGCGAGGAGGGUCAUUUACGCUUCUCAGCUCACUGCCAAGCCAAGGCUGCUGGAGCCCGUGUACCUGGUUGAGAUCCAGGCCCCGGAGAACGCACUUGGUGGUAUCUAUGGUGUGCUGAAUCAGAAGAGAGGCCACGUGUUCGAGGAGAUGCAGAGGCAAGGUACCCCACUCUACAACAUCAAGGCCUACCUGCCUGUUAUCGAGUCCUUCGGGUUCUCGAGCACCCUGAGGGCCGCGACGUCCGGCCAGGCCUUCCCCCAGUGUGUGUUUGACCACUGGGACGUCAUGGCCUCCGAUCCUUUGGACCCUGGCACCCAGUCGGCGACGCUCGUGACGGAGAUCCGCAAGAGGAAGGGUCUCAAGGAGCAGAUGACCCCCCUAUCCGACUUCGAGGACAAGCUCUAAAUUUUGGGGCUUCGAGGACAAGCUCUAAAUUUUGGGGCCAUGUUUUGGUACUGGCUCUUGCUGUGAAGGGAGGCGCGGUAUUUUUCUCCCUAUGUGUCUUCCUUACUAUGUUGUUGUUUGUAUGUGGUGCUACUGAGACUAUGGUUUUGAUGAUGGUUGUGGUGAUGUAACAGAUGUUAAACUUAGAUCAUACAUUUCUGGCAUCCCAUGGUGGUUUAUUUUUACUGUGCUGUGUUUGCUUUUGUGCUAGAUCUUGCUUUCAUUUACGUAUAUUUGACUGUCGUCUCUCGCAAUUGCGUGGUGCGUGUUGUUACGUUUGUGAGUUCCAGCCAUUGUUGCGUUCUGGUUCAUUCAUAAUCUCUUGGGCUGUUUUUUUCUUUCCUUUGCUCUUAGUUUCAUGUUGUUAUGAUGAUUUCCACCAGCCCCUUGUGUUCUUGCCCGGCCGCUCUCUAUUUGCUGCUCUGUGGCUGAGCAGUAUCGUUUUGCGAUAGAAGCUUUCAGUCUAUUAUACUAUAUGUGAAACUCAAAUGCUUGAUGGUUUUGUUUGUUAUGAUCUAUUUUUGGAGUGCCAUUGCUACUACAGUACGUACAUGGCAGAGAAAUGCUGCUGAUAUUAAUGAUCUGUAUCAACGCCUUUCAGAUCUUACCACUGUAGCGAAAUUGGCUGAUAACCCGCGUUACAUUUUUUACGACGGGAAUCGGAAUGAACAUAGCUAGAGAGCGCAGUGCUUGGCAGUUGUUGCCCUGGGUGAAGAUCGUUGCGGCAACAGCAAUGGAGGCCGCAUCUUUGUGUACAAUCAGGGUGACCAGUGCCGGCUUUUGUCAGCUGGUCUUUGUGUUCAAAAAAUUCACAAAGACUCUUUGUCAAAGAGCAUAUGACAAAAGACAGCACCGACAGACAUGGAAGAUGAGGGCCGGCAAAACAGAACCGCAUCGCAUAUGCGGGAGUAUAUUCCUAUUCCGUUUCUCAAGCGACGCGUCAGCGAUGACGUGCGACCGGACGACUGACUUAACCAAGCAAGCACCAGAGGCAUAUGCCGAUUGGAGCAGUUGAAGCGCCGCCAGGGAAGACCAAAAACCUGUCCUUUGCAUAGUUUGUACUGCAUUCCAUGGUUUUACCAGAUAUGGAAAAAUAUCCAAUUAUAUCAGUCCUUAGAGCAUGUACAAUUGUUGAUAAGACUGUUUUAUCUUAUGGCUGUAACGUUAUUUAGAAAGGACAAUAAAAAAUGAUGUGCAAUUCGUUAUUCUUACUUACCCUCGUCUUCAAUAACUAGAUAUCUCUAAUAUGUCGUGAGACAAUUGUUUCUAAAAAUUCUUUUUUUGGGGGGACAGGACAAGCGUGUACAACCCCUAAAAAUUCAAAAUACACACGAAGAAACAAAAAGGAGAAAUUCAGGUAUGAAUAGGCCAUUUUGCUUUUGUCUUCGUUUUACACUAAUCAUGAUGGAUUUGUCUUUUAUGUUUUUCAAUGUGUAUUUAGAUUUUGGAUCUGAGUUUUUUUAGGGAUUUGUAUACAUAUGUGUUGCGAACGUUCAUAGUUUUUAUCAAUUUUUUCAAAAUGUUCAAAUUUGAAUUUCAUAAAAUUGGGAGCAUGUAAGGUUUGGUGCAGUGGCGGAGCUUCAUGGGGCCCAAAGGGGGCCAUUGCCCCCCUACUCUAUAAAAUCUCUUUAAGUGUACCCCUAAUUAAUUGUUGGCUUGAAUAUCCAAGGUUUAUGACCCCGCGAAAAGAAAAAAGAAAAUCCAAGGUUUAUGCAUAACUUGUCUUCGUCGCGCCCUCAACAAUCUUCAUCAAGCUCUUCUGGUCCCUGAUGCUUUCUGCACCAGAUAUAUCUUUCUUCCUGUGUUAGCGCACAUUUCUUUCUUCAUGCUCUCAAACAAUUUUUGCGAUGGGGACACCGGCUUCCAAGUCAUGUUGAUUGGUUAGCACGCACUCUCGAAACAUGUUCUGGACGAGUCGAGGCAUAAUUUUUGCUACAUCUUAAUUACUUUUCUUUAAAAAAUCCAUUUACUUCAAUUUUUUGAUAAAAUCCAUUUACUUCGUGGAUGCUAGUANNNNNNNNNNNNNNNNNNNNNNNNNNNNNNNNNNNNNNNNNNNNNNNNNNNNNNNNNNNNNNNNNNNNNNNNNNNNNNNNNNNNNNNNNNNNNNNNNNNNNNNNNNNNNNNNNNNNNNNNNNNNNNNNNNNNNNNNNNNNNNNNNNNNNNNNNNNNNNNNNNNNNNNNNNNNNNNNNNNNNNNNNNNNNNNNNNNNNNNNNNNNNNNNUUACAUGUCAGUUUUGCCUAUAUGGAGGGCAGAGACAUUAGAAGAUGACGGAAAUGAUUCUCAUGCAAGAGUUUAACUAUAUGCGUACUUCUAUGCAAAUACAAUAAAUAUGAAGAAAGAGAUAGAGAGAAGGUGAAAAGAAGUACUACUCUUAUAGCCAAACUUGUUGUAUGAGUGACUAUAAGUGAUGAUUAUAUAUGACAUGACAACAUCAGAUAACUAGUAGUUGAUUAUACUAUUAACCAUGCUAUAAUCAGGGGAUCGUAUUCCUCAUUCUCCAUACGCGGCUGUUAUGAUCCCGUGCUUUUGUGAGCUUGGUUGAACAGUAAAAUUUAAAAAAACAAUUUAGAAAUUUCUGGAUUUUUUUUAUGAAACUUUGACAAAUAUUUUGAUAGCUUGCAGAAUUUCAUCGCUAGAUGAAAUUUGUGUAAAAUGUGGCAAAAAACAAAACCGAUGUUCCAAAAAUAUUAUUUUCAAACGCAUUUUGGCAAUUCCUUGUCCUAUUUUUUUUUCUCUGACGUGAAACGGAGAUCCAACUGGCCCAUGAGACGGAAAAUCUGGCGAUCUUCUUUUACGGAUCUGGUCAAUUACCUCUGUAACCACGGCCCCCUAAACCCUUGCUCGAUCUCCCCCAAAUCCCAACCGGCCGAUCAUCAUGCCGCCGUCACGGCCGCCACGUCGCCGCUGCGGCCGACGGCGGCGCUCGGCCACCGCAGCAGGGACGGAUCCCUCCGCAGGCGGGAGCAGAGGGUGGCUCGCCGCCCGCCGCAGGCCGUUCAAGCGGCCCGGGCCCGAGCACGGCGACCAGGCGCUGCCCCUGUGCGACGAGACCCUGCUCCUCGUCUUCUCCGCCCUCUCCGACGCCGGGGACCUCGUCCGCUGCGCGUCCACCUGCAGGCGCUGGCGCCGCCUCGUCUCCUCCGACGCCGCCUUCAUCUGCCGCCGCGGCCCCCCGCGCUGCGACCGCUUCGCCCGCCGCCUCGCGGUCGGCGUCUUCCUGCACGGCGCCCGCGGCCGCGGCCGCUCCCGCGGCGACGGCUUCGUGCCCUUCACCAAGCCCGAUCUCUCGAUCGCCGACGGCGGGGUGCCGGGCUCGUCGUCGCGCGUCGUCGCGUCCCGCAACGGCCGCGUCGUGAUGGACCUCCGCCGCGCCAAGAGCGCCUGCGUGCUGCGCCUCUGCGUGUGCGACCCCAUGACCGGCAACGCCGACCUGCUCCCGCCCCUGGCCGGCAAGGACCGCCCGGGCCCGUACGCGUGCGCCCUGCUCACCGCCGACGACGGGCUCCACCUCUACGACGCAUGCGCGGCCACGUCCCCGUCCCCGUCCUCGUACCGCGUGCUCCUCCUCUACAACCACCGCAGCUACACGGCGCUCCGUCGCUACUCCUCGGACGACGGCAGCUGGGGCCCGGAGGUGGAGGUGACCGGCGCCCGGAUCGCGAGGGGGCGGCAGCUGGGCGUCAGGGCGCACGCCACGCUGGUGCGGGGCGGCGCGGUCUGCUGGUACGGGCUCGGCAUCGCCGUCAACCCCGCCACGCUGCACACGUCCAGCUUUGGCUACACCGUGCAGGCCUUCGAGUCGCCGCCGCGCCGCGCCAAGGCCUCCCUCGGCGAGGUGGACCGGCUGCUGGGGCUGAUGCCGGACGGGCGGCUGUGCGUGCUGGAGUGCAAGGCCGACGCGGUGCGCGCCUACGUGGUCGUCUACGCCGACGCGGUGAGGAACGGCGGCGUGUCGGGGAGGAAGGAGUGGCGGUGGACGCUGAACGCGGAGCUGAUGGGCCUGCAGGCGGUGAGGCUGCGGUGGUUCUGCGAGCAGAGCGGCGUGGCGCUCUUCACGGCGAGGAACCGGGGCGGCAAGACGCAGGUGUACGCGGUGGACGUGGAGACGAUGCAGGUGGGCAGGGUGGACUGGUCGGGGGACGACGGCGACGGCGGCGACGGGGACAUGGACGUGUGUGGGUACGAGAUGGACCGGGUGGCCAUGCUCGCCGAGCUCGACCACUCCGCUGAGCUCCAUCCAGCUCCUCGGCAGCUCUGAUUCAACAUUCUUUUCCUUAUUUUUCCCUUCUUUUUCUACAAAAUUUCAUUGAUUUCUGCAAUGACUGCAAAUUGUAGUUUUUGUAUAGGAGUAUUUAUAAUGCUUUUCGAAAAAUCAGUACUAAUACUGCAACCCAAACUGGUUCCAUUAUCGCCACUGUCAUUGUUCUCGCGAAAAUUGGAUCUGGGUCACCAAAUGAACCAAGCAUCUCAUACAGGUACAUGGAUUGUUUGCAUAUAAACACCAAUGAACUUCUGACUAAAAUUUUCAACUUUUAAGGGAACAGAAACCACUUCUGACUAAAAUUUUCAACUUUUAAGGGAACAGUUAAAUUUAUAGCAGUAACAUAAAAAUACAAAACAUGAUUUCUUUGGCAGCAAACAUCGGUGAAUAUUCUACUCCCUCUAUAAAGAAACAGUUUGUCUAAUUCACAUCUAGAUGUUUUUUAAGGAUGUCACAUCUAACCUCCCACAAGUAAGGCAACAACAAAGAACAAAAAAACUGGGACAAAAAAAAAAUAGACUACAAGCGUAGUGGAGAUCAGGUUAGAUGUGACAACAUCUAGAUGUGUCCUAAACAGACCCACAAAAAAAUAUAUUUCUUUUCGGAGGGAGUACAUACUUGGAAACUUCUUGAAAAAAAUAACACUCCUAAUACUCUGUCAAUAGCAAAAUCAAUGCUCCAGAAAGAAUAUUUUUGAAAGCAUUUGAUUUUGUAAAACAAAUCCUAGACCUCCACGAAUGUGAUUUCAUCACGAAAUUUGCAUGCACAUAGAAAACUAAGCAAUGUUCGUUGUAAAAAAAAUUCAGACUUUUAUUGUUCAUGAGCUCUUGAGCUCGAGAUUAUAAGGGACCCUUUCACCCGUUUGCAUUGUUUACACACCGAACACAAUCAUCAUUCAUCAGCCAAGCAACAACUAAACUGCAGCAACAUCAUCG